CAGCCGUAAACUAUGCGCGUUAGGUGUACUGGUGACCACGAGUCACCGGGUGCCGAAGGGAAACCGUGAAACGUGCCGCCUGGGAAGUACGGUCGCAAGGCUGAAACUUAAAGGAAUUGGCAGGGGAGCACCACAACGGGUGGAGCCUGCGGUUUAAUUGGACUCAACGCCGGAAAUCUCACCGGAUAGGACAGACAUAUGAUAGUCGGGCUGAAGACUCUACUUGAUGAUCUGAGAGGAGGUGCAUGGCGUCAGUGACU
rnacentral:rRNA from 1 species